CCACAAUAGGUAAGUUAAAACCAUCUACAAGGCUAACAUCAUAGUAAUCGAUAUCAUCACCUAGGGUGAAUUCGGCUAUGGAAACAGGCAGGCUGCCAGCGCUUGUACAGUUUAUUGAAGUGCCACAACUUCCUGUUUGGCACGUGCCAUUGCCAUUUUUAUCGAAACUGCAACCGGUCCGACCCCAUAUGCGGCCACUCCACCCAUUCGGGGCAUUAUAGAAGGCAGUCUGACCUGAUUCCAAGGUAAAGCCUUCACCAUGGAAGUUGCCUCCAUCGGUGAUUAUUGCAGGCCAUAUUGUUUCUUUGCACUGAUUCACUAGUGUAAAAUUUUUUGCAUUUGCAGGCUUUGUUACACCUGCCCAAAUAAAAAUAUAAGUGAACUUAUAUGUACUUUUCUCGGAACUAGAAAGGUUGGUUUUUGAGAUUAGAAAAAAAUGCUGCAAAUACUGAAAUUAAAACCCGAAAUCUAUUAAAUAUGAUAUCUUAAAGAUGAAAUAAAUACCCUGAAAACCGUAACUUGGAAUGAAAAGGACCAAAUUCUAGAAAUUUAAUUACUGGGGUGAUUAUGUAAUGUAAUUGAAAUAUACCUGAUGCAAGGAUAAUGCAGAAGCAGAAAAAUAGAAAAGUAGAACUGUGGGGCAAUGCCAUCCUCGAGGGGAGACCUGAAGACAGCCAGGGAAGACAGAGGUUCCCUUGUAUUUAAAUCAUCAUAACUUGGAGAAUACGUGUAGGAGUUGGUGAAUCUACAAGCACUGUUCAACAAAGCUCAAAAAGAUUUCCUUUGCUUACUUCCCUAACCAAUUGAUUUUAUACCUUGCCUCUAUCUCAUUACAUUGUACUUGGAAAUUUUUAUGUUAUUUUCCCACUUUUUAUCUGCCGUUAUUCUUCUUUCUUUUUCAUAAAAUAAUAAUCCAGCUUUUCAAUGAAGGUAUUUCAAUCAUAGCCAAUCUCUAACUCUGAUUAUAAAUAGAGAUUGCAAAUAUAUAGUA
rnacentral:lncRNA from 1 species